GACGAACGCUGGCGGCGUGCUUCACACAUGCAAGUCGAACGGGGUAGCAAUACCCAGUGGCGGACGGGUGAGUAACACGUGGGAAUCUGCCUAAGGGUGGUGGAUAACUGACCGAAAGGUUAGCUAAUAUGCCAUAUGCCGCAAGGUGAAAGGGAUAACCCGCCUUUAGAUGAGCCCGCGUCCGAUUAGCUAGUUGGUAGGGUAAAAGCCUACCAAGGCAGUGAUCGGUAGGUGGUCUGAGAGGAUGAUCACCCACAAUGGAACUGAGACACGGUCCAUACUCCUACGGGAGGCAGCAGUGGGGAAUUUUGUGCAAUGGGCGAAAGCCUGACACAGCGACACCGCGUGAGCGAAGAAGCCCCUUGGGGUGUAAAGCUCUGUCAGCAGGGACGAAAAAAAUGACGGUACCUGCAGAGGAAGCAUCGGCUAACUACGUGCCAGCAGCCGCGGUAAUAC
rnacentral:rRNA from 1 species